rnacentral:rRNA from 1 species
CGAUUAGAGUUUGAUCCUGGCUCAGGAUGAACGCUGGCGGUCUGCUUAACACAUGCAAGUCGAACGGAGUAGAAAUACUUAGUGGCGGACGGGUGAGUAACGCGUGAGAAUCUGCCUUCAGGACGGAGACAACAGUUGGAAACGACUGCUAAGCCCCGAUGAACCGAAAGGGAAAAUAUUUAUAGCCUGAAGAUGAGCUCGCGUCCGAUUAGCUAGUUGGCGGGGUAAAGGCCCACCAAGGCGACGAUCGGUAGCUGGUCUGAGAGGACGAUCAGCCACACUGGGACUGAGACACGGCCCAGACUCCUACGGGAGGCAGCAGUGGGGAAUUUUCCGCAAUGGGCGAAAGCCUGACGGAGCAAGACCGCGUGGGGGAAGAAGGCUCUUGGGUUGUAAACCCCUUUUCUCUGGGAAGAAAGUUGUGAAAGCAACCUGACGGUACCAGAGGAAUCAGCAUCGG